CGGGCGAGUAACGCGUGAGGAACCUGCCUCAAAGAGGGGGACAACAGUUGGAAACGACUGCUAAUACCGCAUAAGCCCACGGCUCGGCAUCGAGCAGAGGGAAAAGGAGUGAUCCGCUUUGAGAUGGCCUCGCGUCCGAUUAGCUGGUUGGUGAGGUAACGGCCCACCAAGGCGACGAUCGGUAGCCGGACUGAGAGGUUGAACGGCCACAUUGGGACUGAGACACGGCCCAG
rnacentral:rRNA from 1 species